rnacentral:lncRNA from 1 species
CCCUGGGAUGUACGAGCGAACUGUGACAAUGAACUCCUUAGGGAAGACUUUCUCCCUAACCGGCUGGAAGAUCGGGUGGGCCAUAGCACCCCCUCACCUGACAUGGGGAGUGAGACAAGCACAUUCGUUUCUCACUUUUGCUACCUCCACACCAAUGCAAUUUGCAGGUGCGACGGCCCUUUCAACCUCAGAUACCUACUAUGAGGAGCUUAAGAGGGAUUACAUGGCAAAGAAGGAGAUAUUGGUAGAGGGUUUGAAAGCUGUGGGUUUUAUUGUAUAUCCAUCAAGUGGUACGUACUUUGUGGUGGUAGAUCACACUCCUUUUGGGCAGAAAGAUGAUGUUUCGUUCUGUGAGUAUUUGAUUAAGGAAGUUGGGGUGGUAGCCAUUCCAACAAGCGUGUUUUACUUGAACAAGGAAGAUGGAAAGAAUCUUGUAAGGUUUACAUUUUGCAAAGAUGAGGGGACUCUCCGAAGUGCAGUUGAGAGGAUGAAAGAGAAGCUGUCAAGGAAGAAGUGAUUUCGCUAUUUUUAUUUUAAAAUACGUUUUGGCUUCUAAAUACUAUGUAAACCAAACAUGCACUAGCCACCCAGAUGGAUGGUUCUGAUAUCAAAAAUCUCACUAAGCUCAAACUUUAACUUGUAUAUGUUUUCUUAUGGAAUUGAUAUUUUCAAAAAUAAGUUUGAUAUUUCUACAAGAUAUCCUUCCAUUAGUGUGGAAAGUGGAAACCAUUACUAUUCAUGUUAAGAGAGAGCUUGCAGAACUAUUACUCUUUUUUUUUUUUUUUUGCGAAAAUAUCAAUUAUCUUUUCUAAUCCAAAACACCAAGUUAAUUAUAUCAAUUUUUACUUAGAAACUGGAGUUCUUGACAUACAAUGACAGGUAGUUGUCCAAAGUGGUUGACAUGACAAUCCCUCUAUAUAAUGUCUAUCUCUAUUUUAAACUCUUUUGGUUGUCCUAAUUUUUUCUCUAUGUUAAUUACACAAUAUUAUUAUACUAGAUAUGUCCUGUGUCUCCGGCAUUAUCUGGACGGUGAGAUUUAUUCCAAACUUUGGACGGUCCAGAUGAUUUAUUAGGAUGAACGAGAAAUUCAAAAUAAAUUGUAUUUUGUUAAAUAGAUGAAUAUAAAUAUGUGCACAAAGGCUUGAACAAAGAUUAAAAAUAAUUCUUUUUAUUUUCAUAUAGGGCCUGUAUCUCCAAGACUACCUAUCUAGCCUGUGAAGUGUGAAUUAUGGGGCUGGGCUCAGGGAAUAUUGCCAGGUCUCCAACUCCUUUCAUUGGGAGUUGGGGUCAGCUUCUGCCUUCUGCUACUUCUCUAAAGAAUAGUUUUCUACUAUGUCUAAACUCUUUCAGACAUUAUUACCCUUGCUCAUUUAUGGGAGUGGUUAGCAUAAGCCGAAGUGGAGUUGGCUGCUUGCCUCCGAGUAUUCUAAGAUUUGUAGGUUGUAGCUACCUUUCUAUCUUCUUUUUAGUUUUCUUGAGGUUUCCGUAACUAAUUGGGGGAGGUGCUGUACCGGUCGUUAACCGGUACAGUGUUAUUUAUUUUUAAUUUUUUUUUAUCAUAAUUAUAAGAAUAAUAAAUAAAAAAUAAUAUAGCAAAAUAUACUUUCUUUUACAGUUUUUUGUUCAAACUUGCUCUAUUAUUUUUUAUUUAUUAUUCAUAAUUAAUAAUUAUGGUAAAAAAAAAAUUUAAAAAAAUAAAAAAAAUAACACAUGUACCGGUCGUUAGUCCGGUACAAUGUGUACCGGGCGCACCCCCAACCCGUUUGGGUAUGUGUGUUGGUCCUUGUGGUUGAAUCCUGGACUUUAUAUUUACUCUUUUUCUUCUUAAUAAUGAUGUUUUGAAUUUCAUAGUAAAGAUGAAACCACACGGGCAGUGGCGAAGCUACGUGUUGACAGUGGCGAAGCCACGUCAAUUUUGUGGGGUCAAUUGACAUUUGACGCUAUUGAAAAAAAAAUUAUUUUAUAAUGUAAGGUAAAUUUUAAAAAUUUUAAAUAAUAUAUAUAAAUUGACCCCACUAAAAUUUUAUAAAUUUUUUAUUAUAUGGGGUCAAAUUGAAAAUUUAUAACUUUGUCAAUCAAAUUUUAAUCAUAUAUGACUCAUAUCCUUUCAAUAUAUGUAUUUAUCUAUAAUAUUUUAAACUAAAUAAUAAUCUAAUUUAUAUUAUUUUUAAAAAUAAAUAAUAAAUUACUUACUUAUGAACAGUUGUAAUUAAAAAAGUCUAUUAUGAGUCAAUAUAGUGUAUAUAUAUCAUAUAUUGUUACUCAUUAUAUUUUCAUUGUAAUAUAAUAUAUAUAUAUAUAUAUAUAUAUAUAUAUAUACACCUGAAAGUAUAAAGUAUUAAAAAAUUGUCUCGGGGGCGUUGUCCCCGAACCCUCGCCAAUUUUUUUUAUAAUUUAGUAAUAAUUUUGACCCCACUACUAAAAACUUUUGGCUUCGCCACUGCAUGUUGAGUAGUGGAGUCAAUUGAGUAAUAAUCCGUGGCAAACGUUUGCCAUAAGCACUGUUCAGCAACCAAGUUUUCAUCCGUCGAUUCAUACAUUUAAUGGCUCAGAUUAAACAAUUUCCCCCUGCCGAUGUAGCGGCAGCCUUAUAAUCCCAAAAUUGCUACUAAGUUACCGAACUGCCCCUCCUUUAUAUAUUUAGCCCCUGCCGGCUGCCGCAUGAGCCUCUAGCGGCAGGCACGUAUAUUUUGUCUUAUUCUUGGGACGCUGUUUGCAUAUAUUUUGUUGCAGAUCAUCAAAAUCUAAAUUAACUAUCCAUGCUGAACAACACUACUCACAUGCAUGCACAUAUCUAUAAGUACUGUUUUAUUUAUUAAUAUAUAUUUUAAUAAGAUCAUUACUAAUUUUUAAAAAUUAAUUUGAAACAUUUAAAAUGAAGAUUAUUUAUUAUAGGUUAUAAAAUAAUAAAAAAAUUUACGAUGAGUAAUAUUUUUUAAAUAAUUAAUUUACGGUAUCUAAUAUUAUUGUAGUGGUUAAACUUACAGAAAUUCAUUCUAAUUAUUUUAAAUUUAAAAAUAUAUUAAAUUAAUUUUUAAAUUUUAAAAAUUAAUUUAAAAUAUAUUAAUAUAUUAAAUUAAUUUAAAAAUUAAUAUAUUAAAUUAUUUUAAAAAUUAAUUUAAUAUAUUUUUAAAUCCAACAUUAUUUUAACCACUACAAUAAUAUUAGAUACCGUAAAUUAAUUAUUUUAAAUAUAUUUAAAAAUCCAACAUUAUUGUAACCACUACAAUAAUAUUAGAUACCGUAAAUUAAUUAUUUAAAUUUAAUAUUAGAUACCGUAAACUUACAGAAAUUCAUUCUAAUUAUUUUAAAUUUAAAAAUAUAUUAAAUUAAUUUUUAAAAUAAUGUUGGAUUUUUAAAUAUAUUUAAAAUUAUUUUAAAAAUUAAUUUAGUAUAUUUUUAAAUUUAAAAUAAUUAGAAUGAAUUUCUGUAAGUUUAACCACUACAAUAAUAUUAGAUACCGUAAAUUAAUUAUUUAAAAAAUAUUACUCAUGUGACGCCCCCAAAAUUAGGUAUACAUCACCCAUCUUGAGUCGUCAGAUACAUGGUACAGAAUUCAAAUACAACUUAAUAAUACAACUGUCGUGUACAAUACGAUAAAACAUAAACUGUGAGUUUGAAUACAAAUAUUGUCUACUAGAGANNNNNNNNNNNNNNNNNNNNNNNNNNNNNNNNNNNNNNNNNNNNNNNNNNNNNNNNNNNNNNNNNNNNNNNNNNNNNNNNNNNNNNNNNNNNNNNNNNNNNNNNNNNNNNNNNNNNNNNNNNNNNNNNNNNNNNNNNNNNNNNNNNNNNNNNNNNNNNNNNNNNNNNNNNNNNNNNNNNNNNNNNNNNNNNNNNNNNCCCACCCCACCCCCACCCAAAAAAAAUAAUAUUAUACGAUUAUGUAUAUCUCAUAGCAUUACUUAAGGAGCCUAAAUUCCACACUUAUAUUCGUCUCUCUAUCUAUAGUAUAUAUUAAUUUCAUUUUUUUAAAUUUUUGUUUAAAAGUCAAAACAUCUUAAAAUGAUUAAUAUGGGUUUUAACCAUAACCAUAUGGUUCCAACCCACAUAACCCAUAUUAAAAAUGGUUAAUAUGAUUUUAGUUAAAUGGAACCAUAAAUAUAUUUUGAAAACCAAAAACCAACCCAUAACCAUGUUUUGCCAGGCCUAAUUUAGGGCUCAGUUUGCUAGUAAUUAAUUAACUAAAGAUACUUCAUCCAUGUAUUUAACAAUUAGGUUUUGUCCAGCUAUCAUCGUUUGUAUUUACAGCGUUUGGACCUCCAAACAUAACGCACCAAUUUUAAUCCAUUUGAGACUCAAACGUUGUAUUUGUGAAUUAAAUAAGUUGCUAUUAAAAUAACAAAAUUUUUAAGUACGUUUGAACUUGCAAACGCAAUAAACGUUGAGUAACUAAACAUACACUAUAACUACUCGUGUUUACACAAAAAUAAUUGAAGAAGUCAAAUUAUAGUUAUUUGUGUAAAUUUCCUUUCAUUUUAUGUAUGUAAUUUAUAUAUAUAUAUAUUUGCUCUAUCAUCCUCCCACUCUUUUGAUCUAUAGAGAAGGAUUAACAAUGUUCAGUUUCUUUUUCUAAAAUAUGAUCCACUUUUCCUUCCAAAACAGAAAAAACCAAAAAAAUAAAACAAUGAUAUUAUGAAGUCAAUUUCCCUUUAAAUCUCCGUUUGGAACUUGCGAAAUGUGGAAGAAAAUGAAGAAAAAAAUAAAUGUAAAAAAGUAAAAAAUAUCUCAACAAAGAUAAAUCUAACCAUCUACACUUUUGAGGAUAGAGAAAGUAACUAAUUAUUCAUUUUUAUUUGAACACGUAUAUAUUUUUAGAGUACGUAUUGAGUAUCAAUUUGAAUAUAUAACAAUUAAAUAUAUUUUUUUGAAUCAUGACUAAAAUUUAAACAUAAAACAAGUCCAAUAUAAUUUUAUUAGAUUUUAUUCAUAUUUUAAAUUGUUUUUUAUUUUCAUAAAUUAUUUAUGUGCCUAAAGUUAUUUUGAUGGAUUCAUUAUAUUGUUAGGAGAUGCAUGUACCUAUUAAACAACUUUGAAUUGAUGGGAUCCAGGUUCGGACCACUCAAAUUUUUAUGAGAGUGGUUAGUAUAAAGUUAAUUUUAAUCAAUUAAUUAAUACAAUGUUAUCACAUAAAUUUAGAGAUAUUUCUGUGUAUCGAAACUGUAUUGAUUAAUAGACAAAAUUAACAUAAAGAUAACUUGAUGAUAACCAUAUCCAACUUCUACUCGUCUCUGACUCUCUGUGGCCAAAAUUCGUGGCACACCAGGUAAAGUAAAGAAUUGAGAGUCAUAAUUUGUCUGGUCACUUGCGACUAAUAUUGUUCAAUCAAAUGUAUGUCUAGCAUGUUAGCAUGAUGUUUAUUUUUAAGUAAGUUAGUCAAUUGACCAAUAGAGUGCUGACACGCAGACGAGGUUCUAUGUGUGUCAGAAUUCUAUUGGUCAAUUGACCAACUUACCAAAAAAUAAAUUUCAUGCUAACCGAAUCGGUCUCACAUACACCAGUAGGUCAAUGUACCUAGACAGAAAGAUGAUGUUUAGAGCAUCUUCAGCAAGGUGAUCAUAGAUUAUAUUUAGUCCAUAUGAUAUCAAUCUAUAUGAGAUAUUAUUUUAAUUUUUUCAACAGAUAAUCACUAUAAUAUUAAAAAAAAUUAUUAUUCAUCGAUCAUUCUUCCACUCCCAUUUAAAUAUAUUAAAAAUUUAUAGUUCAUCAAAACUAAGUUACUGGAUAUAGUCUAUUUGUUUUGCCCCAAAAUACCCCAAAUUCUGAGGGUUGGACUAAAUUUAGUCAGGAUUUGAGCAUCUCCUGAGAUGCUCUUAGACAAUUGAGCUUCACAACUACCGUUUUACAUCAUACCCUUUGUCGGAGACGAACCACCGGCUACCCAUCUUCCAUGGCCACAAUUUCGACCCAAUUGGAGACUGCUUUAGCUCAGGAUGAGUCUACCCAGAAGAGCCAUCAACCCGUACAGGCAUCCCCAAUUGUCUUUUUUUAUUUAUUUAUUAAAUUUAUGCUUGAUUUCUUGGCAUUUUCUUGAUGGGUUUGCUCUAUAUUGACAUUGGUUAUGUCCUUUCAUGAUCUAGCUGAGUCUCUUUUGGUAAUUGUAGUUUGAUCUGGAUUUUAGGUCAGGCUCUUUCUCCAUCUGUGUACUUCUACGGGAUGCUUUAUGCCUAAUAUUUACUUUAUUUAAAGGUCUUGUAAUUACACCUAUGGUACUGGUUUAGGAUUUUCCUUUCUUGCUUACGUUUCUUGUGGAUAUCCAUUGCUUUCUAUUACUCAUUUAUACUUAGAAAUUUGAUUUAGCUAGUCGAUGGUAUGCUAAUUUAGGACUUGGAUUGUUUAUUAAAUGGCCUUUUGUAAGCCAUGCGUAUGUACUUGAACCUGCCCAACCGUGCAAAGGUGAAGUUAGUUGAUGAUGACAGACUGACCGGGCCGUUAAUCUGACGAUUCAAGCUUCAAGGGUUCAACAAUUGAUUUCAAGUAAUUGGGCUAAAGUCUAUUCGAGGAUACCUAAAUUGGAGCUCAAUUCAAGUGGAGCGCGAGGGGAAUUUGAAUUAUGUGAUUUGGGAUUGCUAGAAACGAUCUAUUUAGUAAGACCAAAUCAACGCAAACCAAGUUUACAAUUCCGUGUUCAUGUGUGUUGCCUAAUCAUCGACGAAGUUAUGUUUCAAUUCAUGGAGGGAUUAGCGAUCACGCGACGUUGUGGAUGUCCAAGCAUCACAAAGAAUGUACAAUUUAAUACGCAACAACACAAUGUUGCAAUGCACGUAACGAAAGGAAAGGAUUCCAGCUACAAGGCAAGGCGUUCGUUAUGGGAUAAGAUUCUAAGCUCAUUAAUUUGGUUCAAUCAAAGGUUCGAAUUUGGUGGAGGAAAUGAAAAAGGAGCAAAGAAUUACAUUCGAGACUUAAAAACGUCAAAGAAGUGAAAAUGUUCAAAAACAGCAAAGCGGACAGAAAGUCCAGUGCCGCGGCGCUCCAUUCUAGAGCUGCGGCGCUCUAGCGCGUUCCAACGUGUUCUAGACGCGUUUCAGAAAAGUUGGACGCAGAUUUGUGCGAGAUUUUAUUACCUUUUCCAAUUCUAAUGUAAUUAGGAUGAUUUUUAAGCUAGGAUUUCAUUCCAAAUUGAUUUUUUAUUUCCUUAUAGGAUUAGGGUUACUUUUUAUUACUAUAAAUAGGGGCUUGACCGAUGUAAUUCAAAAGAACAACUUUGAUUAAUAAAAUUAUUGUGAGAUUGUUCUCCUUUUGGUUCUUUGAGAACUCUCGAACUGUUCAUGGUUCAUCUGUGAGGUUCAAACUUUGACUUGUCAUACAACAAUUCAUAGUUGUGUGUGACGUCUUUUACCGCAUCAAUCGUCAAUUGUAUCGAGGUUUCUGCUUCUUAUAAGUAUGGGGUUUAGGUGUCGGCGGUGUUUCAUUCAACACAUAUUUCAUUACUUGAUCGAUUAUACCAAGGUUCUCGCAUAUUUAUAGGCGUUGGGUUGAGGUGUCAAGAGAGUUCCACCCUUAUAGCUUGUUAGAAACGAUCCGAGCGACGACCACCUCACGCAAGCAUGCCGUGGAGUCUAUCAUUUGGUAUCAGAGCUAAGUUCCUAGCAAGUUGCGCUGUGGACCUCCAGUGGCGGACAUAAUAAUAUUAAAGCAUUUCUUGUUUCUUGUUUGCAUUUUGGCUGAAAGUUUGUCAGAAUUUUAAGAUAAGUAUCACUAGCUUGAAUAUUUUUGGAGGUAACAGUUUUACCUAGUGGGGGUCUCAAUCACUCAUGACAUGCCCAGGUACUUCAUAAUUCUUGACCACCCCCUUGUCUUCUUUUAUGUGGUGGCCUUCAUGCUGCAUUCAGUUGGAUAACCUAUAACGCUGCUUCAAAGAUAGCCUUCUCUGUCGUAGCACCCUCUGAUUAGAUAUUUUACUGGGCUCCAUGAAGGCUACUUGAGUUAUUUCAGCGUGUUGAGUUCUUAUAUUGCAGUAAAUGCAUUAGUUUUAUGAUUUUACUGCAUUUUCUGUGGAGAUCGGAUUAUUUGUCAACAGGUGUUAUACUUUCUGAAAUUAUCUCAAGUCUGUUUUUUGAAUCUCAUUGUCGUUGUGAGAUUGUUAAAACAUUACUUUAAGCAGCUUAGUUGACCUGUAUUUCGGAAGAGUCCUAUUUAGCUAAGACCAAGAGAUAUGGGAUAUUGUUUGCUUUGUUCAUUGAGAUUCAUAUUGGUCUUCAUCAAUCAUCAUGCUUUGAGUAAAGAGUGGUGAUCAUUCUAUUAGAUAAAAGAGACUGCAGAAAUUGGAGACAAUCUGUUUCUUAAUUAAGGAAAAGCAGUUAAUUGGUUUCACAAAAUCGAUUAGCCUUCAUCUGGUUAUGUCAUAUCUGAAUAGAACAAAGUUGCAAGUUAUUGGAAUCUGAGUGACAGAUAAACACUAUGAAAGAAGAAACUUUGAUUAUACUAGAAAGCCUCAUCAACUUGAAGGUUACUGGAAAUGAUGACUAUAUUUACUCUUCAACUUAAAUAGGAUAUAGUCAUCAUUUCCAGUAACCUUCAACUUAAUGGAUUCUUUUUAUUUUAAAUAUUUGUUGGAAAGUCAACCCUUGUGUCUAUAUGCAAACUUUCCUUCAAUGGCCAUAACUUCUGUAACUGAGGCUUUCCAUUUCAGGUUGCAAAGUGUUUGGAGCAAUUCAAAACGGCAAUAUUCUCGCAGAUGAGUAUGCUUGCCAUCAAACAUGGAGCAAUAAACCUCGGUCAAGGCUUCCCAAGUUUUGAUGGCCCAGAAUUUGUCAAAGAAGCAGCAAUUCAAGCCAUUAAAGAUGGGAAAAAUCAAUAUGCCCGCGGGUAUGGUGUUCCUGAUCUCAACUCAGCAGUCGCAGCACGGUUCAAGAAGGAUGCUGGACUUUCUGUGGACCCAGAAAAGGAAGUUACUGUCACCACUGGCUGCACUGAAGCAAUUGCUGCAACCAUUCUAGGAUUAAUAAAUCCUGAAGAUGAGGUGAUCCUCUUUGCUCCUUUCUAUUAUUCUUAUGAAGCUACUCUGUCUAUGGCCGGUGCCAAGAUAAAGUGCAUCACUUUACGGCCUCCAAAUUUUUCUGUCCCCAUUGAUGAGCUCAGGUCUGCAAUCUCAAAGAAUACUCGUGCAAUCCUCUUAAACACUCCACACAACCCCACGGGAAAGAUGUUCUCUCGGGAAGAACUCAAUACGAUUGCAUCUCUCUGCAUCAAGAAUGAUGUAUUAGUUUUCAGUGAUGAAGUUUAUGACAAGUUAGCUUUCGAAAUGGAUCACAUAUCAAUAGCUUCUCUCCCUGGGAUGUACGAGCGGACUGUGACAAUGAACUCCUUAGGGAAGACUUUCUCCCUAACCGGCUGGAGGAUAGGGUGGGCCAUAGCACCCCCUCACCUGACAUGGGGAGUGAGACAAGCACAUUCGUUUCUCACUUUUGCUACCCCCACACCAAUGCAAUUUGCAGCUGCGACAGCCCUUUCAACCUCAGAUACCUACUAUGAGGAGCUAAAGAGGGAUUACAUGGCGAAGAAGGAGAUAUUGGUAGAGGGUUUGAAAGCUGUGGGUUUUAUUGUAUAUCCAUCAAGUGGUACGUACUUUGUGGUGGUAGAUCCCGCCCCUUUUGGGCAGAAAGAUGAUGUUUCGUUCUGUGAGUAUUUGAGUAAGGAAGUUGGGGUGGUAGGCAUUCCGACAAGCAUGUUUUACUUGAACAAGGAAGAUGGAAAGAAUCUUGUAAGGUUUACAUUUUGCAAAGAUGAGGGGACUCUCCGAAGUGCAGUUGAGAGGAUGAAAGAGAAGCUGUCAAGGAAGUAGUGAUUUAGCUAUUUUUAUUUUAAUUUAUGUGUAUAUUGGUAAAAUUUCUGUUGUAACUUUAAGAUUCUGGGAUUCAAUAAUUUAUUAUUUUCCUUUGUGAGUUCUGAAAAACAAAUGAAUUGGCUAAAGACAGACAUUACUUAGAAAUAAAUUACCUGGAUAUUUG